rnacentral:rRNA from 1 species
AAUGAACGUUGGCGGCGUGGAUUAGACAUGCAAGUCGUGCGAUAACCCCGCAAGGGGGGAAAGCGGCGAAAGGGAGAGUAACGCGUGGGUACCUGCCCCUUGGUCCGGAAUAGCUGCGGGAAACUGCAGGUAAUGCCGGAUAAUAUCCUCGGAUCAAAGGUGUGAUUCCGCCGAGGGAGGGGCCCGCGUUCUAUUAGCUAGUUGGUAGGGUAAUGGCCUACCAAGGCGACGAUGGAUACCGGGUGUGAGAGCAUGACCCGGCUCACUGGGACUGAGACACUGGCCAGACACCUACGGGUGGCUGCAGUCGAGAAUCUUCGGCAAUGGGCGCAAGCCUGAACGAGCGACGCCGCGUGCGGGAUGAAGGCCUUCGGGUUGUAAACCGCUGUCGUAGAGGAGGAAUUGCCAUGGGGUUCUCUCCAUGGUUUGACCUAUUCUAGGAGGAAGGACGGGCUAAGUUCGUGCCAGCCGCCGCAGUAA